AUGAACGCUGGCGGCGUGCUUCACCCAUGCCAGUCGCACGAUGAAGCCCAGCUUGCUGGGUGGAUUAGUGGCGAACGGGUGAGUAACACGUGAGUAACCUGCCCUUAACUCUGGGAUAAGCCUGGGAAACUGGGUCUAAUACCGGAUAGGAGCGUCCACCGCAUGGUGGGUGUUGGAAAGAUUUAUCGGUUUUGGAUGGACUCGCGGCCUAUCAGCUUGUUGGUGAGGUAAUGGCUCACCAAGGCGACGACGGGUAGCCGGCCUGAGAGGGUGACCGGCCACACUGGGACUGAGACACGGCCCAGACUCCUACGGGAGGCAGCAGUGGGGAAUAUUGCACAAUGGGCGAAAGCCUGAUGCAGCGACGCCGCGUGAGGGAUGACGGCCUUCGGGUUGUAAACCUCUUUCAGUAGGGAAGAAGCGAAAGUGACGGUACCUGCAGAAGAAGCACCGGCUAACUACGUG
rnacentral:rRNA from 1 species